AGAGUUUGAUCCUGGCUCAGGACGAACGCUGGCGGCGUGCUUAACACAUGCAAGUCGAACGGAAAGGCCCUUCGGGGUACUCGAGUGGCGAACGGGUGAGUAACACGUGGGUGAUCUGCCCUGCACUCUGGGAUAAGCCUGGGAAACUGGGUCUAAUACCGGAUAGGACCACACACUUCAUGGUGAGUGGUGCAAAGCUUUUGCGGUGUGGGAUGAGCCCGCGGCCUAUCAGCUUGUUGGUGGGGUAAUGGCCCACCAAGGCGACGACGGGUAGCCGGCCUGAGAGGGUGACCGGCCACACUGGGACUGAGAUACGGCCCAGACUCCUACGGGAGGCAGCAGUGGGGAAUAUUGCACAAUGGGCGCAAGCCUGAUGCAGCGACGCCGCGUGAGGGAUGACGGCCUUCGGGUUGUAAACCUCUUUCAGUAGGGACGAAGCGAAAGUGACGGUACCUACAGAAGAAGGACCGGCCAACUACGUGCCAGCAGCCGCGGUAAUACGUAGGGUCCGAGCGUUGUCCGGAAUUACUGGGCGUAAAGAGCUCGUAGGUGGUUUGUCGCGUUGUUCGUGGAAACUCACAGCUUAACUGUGGGCGUGCGGGCGAUACGGGCAGACUAGAGUACUGCAGGGGAGACUGGAAUUCCUGGUGUAGCGGUGGAAUGCGCAGAUAUCAGGAGGAACACCGGUGGCGAAGGCGGGUCUCUGGGCAGUAACUGACGCUGAGGAGCGAAAGCGUGGGUAGCGAACAGGAUUAGAUACCCUGGUAGUCCACGCCGUAAACGGUGGGUACUAGGUGUGGGUUUCCUUCCUUGGGAUCCGUGCCGUAGCUAACGCAUUAAGUACCCCGCCUGGGGAGUACGGUCGCAAGACUAAAACUCAAAGGAAUUGACGGGGGCCCGCACAAGCGGCGGAGCAUGUGGAUUAAUUCGAUGCAACGCGAAGAACCUUACCUGGGUUUGACAUGCACAGGACGUACCUAGAGAUAGGUAUUCCCUUGUGGCCUGUGUGCAGGUGGUGCAUGGCUGUCGUCAGCUCGUGUCGUGAGAUGUUGGGUUAAGUCCCGCAACGAGCGCAACCCUUGUCCUAUGUUGCCAGCGGGUAAUGCCGGGGACUCGUAGGAGACUGCCGGGGUCAACUCGGAGGAAGGUGGGGAUGACGUCAAGUCAUCAUGCCCCUUAUGUCCAGGGCUUCACACAUGCUACAAUGGCCAGUACAGAGGGCUGCGAAGCCGCAAGGUGGAGCGAAUCCCUUAAAGCUGGUCUCAGUUCGGAUUGGGGUCUGCAACUCGACCCCAUGAAGUCGGGGUCGCUAGUAAUCGCAGAUCAGCAACGCUGCGGUGAAUACGUUCCCGGGCCUUGUACACACCGCCCGUCACGUCAUGAAAGUCGGUAACACCCGAAGCCAGUGGCCUAACCUUUUGGAGGGAGCUGUCGAAGGUGGGAUCGGCGAUUGGGACGAAGUCGUAACAAGGUAGCCGUA
rnacentral:rRNA from 1 species